rnacentral:rRNA from 1 species
ACACAUGCAGUCGAGCGGAUGAAGGGAGCUUGCUCCUGGAUUCAGCGGCGGACGGGUGAGUAAUGCCUAGGAAUCUGCCUGGUAGUGGGGGAUAACGUCCGGAAACGGGCGCUAAUACCGCAUACGUCCUGAGGGAGAAAGUGGGGGAUCUUCGGACCUCACGCUAUCAGAUGAGCCUAGGUCGGAUUAGCUAGUUGGUGGGGUAAAGGCCUACCAAGGCGACGAUCCGUAACUGGUCUGAGAGGAUGAUCAGUCACACUGGAACUGAGACACGGUCCAGACUCCUACGGGAGGCAGCAGUGGGGAAUAUUGGACAAUGGGCGAAAGCCUGAUCCAGCCAUGCCGCGUGUGUGAAGAAGGUCUUCGGAUUGUAAAGCACUUUAAGUUGGGAGGAAGGGCAGUAAGUUAAUACCUUGCUGUUUUGACGUUACCAACAGAAUAAGCACCGGCUAACUUCGUGCCAGCAGCCGCGGUAAUACGAAGGGUGCAAGCGUUAAUCGGAAUUACUGGGCGUAAAGCGCGCGUAGGUGGUUCAGCAAGUUGGAUGUGAAAUCCCCGGGCUCAACCUGGGAACUGCAUCCAAAACUACUGAGCUAGAGUACGGUAGAGGGUGGUGGAAUUUCCUGUGUAUCGGUGAAAUGCGUAGAUAUA